AGGAAAAAAUUAAUAAAUUUAAUAAUAAUAAAAAUAAUUUUAAUUUAUAAUAAUUUAAUAGGGGUUAAAGUAUUAUUUAAAGAAAAAAUUAUAAAAUUUAUAGUUAAUUAGUAUUGUGAAAGAAUUUUGAAAUAUAUGAAAUAAUAAUUUAUUAAAAAGUAAAUUUUAUUUAUUGUAUCUUGUGUAUCAGAGUUUAUUAAAAAUAUUUAAUUUAAAUAUUAAUUUCUCGAAUUUAAAAGAGUUAAAUAAUUAUAAAAGUUAAUGUAGUAAAAUUAUUUUAAAUAAUUAUUUUGAAAUGAAAUGUUAUUCGUUUUUGAAGAUAUCUAGUUUUUUUAGAAAAAAAUUUAAUUUUGAAUUUAUAAAUUAAAUAAAAUUAAUUAAUUAAUUUUAUUUAAAAAAAAUUUUAUAUUUUAAGGGAUAAGCUUUAAAUUAAAUUUUUAUAAUAAAAAAAUAUAUUUUUGAAAAUUUUAUAAUUUAUAUUGUUAAUAAAUUUUAAUUUAUUAUAAAUAAUUUCAAAUAAUAUAAAAUUUAAAUUAAUUUAAAUUUUUAUAAAAAAAUUUUUUUUAUUUGUGAAAAAUUAAAUAUAAUGAUAAAAUUAGUAUAUUUUUAUUUAUUUAAUUUUAAUUUAAAAAUAAAUAAUUUAAUUAAUUAAAAAGAAUUCGGCAAAAAUUUAUAUUCACUUGUUUAACAAAAACAUGUCUUUUAGAAUUUAAUUUAAAGUCUAAUCUGCCCACUGAUAAUAAUUAAAGGGCUGCAGUAUUUUGACUGUACAAAGGUAGCAUAAUCAUUAGUCUCUUAAUUGGUGACUUGUAUGAAAGAUUGAAUGAAAUAUAAACUGUUUCUUAAUUAAUAUAUAGAACUUAAUUUUUUUUUUAAAAAGUAAAAAUAAUUUAAAAAGACGAGAAGACCCUUUAGAGUUUUAUAAUUAAAUUUAUUAAUAAAUUGUUUAUAUUAUUAUUAUAAUAUAUAUAUAUAUAUAUAUAAUAUUAUAAUAAAAAUUUUUAUAAAUUUAAUUAUUUUAUUGGGGUGAUAAAAAAAUAAAUUUAACUUUUUUAAAAUUUUUAACAGAGAUAAUUGAGUGAUUGAUCCAAUUUUAUUGAUUAUAAGAUUAAAUUACCUUAGGGAUAACAGCGUAAUUUUUUUUUUUAGUUCAAAUAAGAAAAAAAGUUUGCGACCUCGAUGUUGGAUUAAGAUAAAAUUUAAAUGCAAAAGUUUAAAAUUUUUGAUCUGUUCGAUCAUUAAAAUCUUACAUGAUCUGAGUUCAAACCGGUGUGAGCCAGGUUGGUUUCUAUCUUUUAUUAAAUUAAAUAUUUUAGUACGAAAGGAUCAAAUAUUAUAAUUAAAUUAUAUUUUUAAGAAUAUUAUUAAUAAUUAUAUAAAAUUUAUUUAUAUUUUAUUAU
rnacentral:rRNA from 1 species